CUGACCGUGCUAAGGUAGCAUAAUAAAUUUCUUCUUAAUUAGAGGGUAGGAUAAAUGAGCUGACGAGGUGGUUCUUUAUCAUGUAUAAAUAAAUAAAUUUAUAUCCCUGUAAAAAAGCCGUGAUAUUUUAGAGGGACGAUAAGACCCUAUAAAACUUUACUAUAAAGAAUUAGAAGUGUUUUAAGUUUGUGAAGUUGUUAUUGGCUGCUGGGGCGGCUUGUUUCUAUAAUAAAACAUACUGUAUUGGUUUUGAUACCUUAUUAUAUAAGAAUGAAGAUAAGUUACUUUAGGGAUAACAGCGCCAUAUCCUUGGAGAGCCCUUAUCGAUAAGGAUUAUUGCGACCUCG
rnacentral:rRNA from 1 species